GGGGAUGUAGUUCAGUGGUAGAGCAUUUGCCUAGCAUGCAUGAGACCCUGAGUUCAAUCUCCAGCAUACAUA
rnacentral:tRNA from 1 species